rnacentral:tRNA from 1 species
UGGGGUAUCACCAAGCGGUAAGGCACCGGUUUUUGAUACCGGCAUUCCCUGGUUCGAAUCCAGGUACCCCAGCCA